AUUGAACGCUGGCGGCAGGCCUAACACAUGCAAGUCGAACGAGUGGCGGACGGGUGAGUAAUGUCUGGGAAACUGCCUGAUGGAGGGGGAUAAAUACUGGAAACGGUAGCUAAUACCGCAUAACAUCGGAGGUGCCCAGAUGGGAUUAGCUAGUAGGUGGGGUAAAGGCUCACCGAGGCGACGAUCCCUAGCUGGUCUGAGAGGAUGAACAGCCACACGUGAACUGAGACACGGUCCAGACUCCUACGGAGGGCAGCAGUGGGGAAUAUUGCACAAUGGGCGCAAGCCUGAUGCAGCCAUGCCGCGUGUAUGAAUAAGGCCUUCGGGUUGUAAAGUACUUUCAGCGGGGAGGCGUUACCCGCAGAGGAAGCACCGGCUAACUCCGUGCCAGCAGCCGCGGUAAUAC
rnacentral:rRNA from 1 species